CUUUGAUGUAGGGUGAGAAUGACUCAGCUACAUGAAUAACACAUUCAGUUUUGAUGACCUGAGCUGGAGACGCUGCAUCUAAAUUUCCCACGGCCAUUUAAGACAGUAACUCUUGAAGGCCUUACUGUCGUUGCUAAAGACAAGUCUCCUAUCAAUGCAGGGUUGAUAUGGGGAAGCUGCUGACAGCCAUUAGGAAACAGUGUGGUGGUGGUUGCCUCCUGGGAUGUAUGAGUGUGCACACAUCUGAGUGAGUCUGUGCACGUGCAGGUGUUUGUGCACGUGGACCCGUAUGAACAUUUGAUUGUAUUGGCGUGUUUUUCGAAGGGCGGGGUCUCUGUUCUAAAGGUCUGUCCGCACAUCUGAAAUGUCAAUCUUCGUUAUGAAGAGGAAGAACGGCAACAUAUGGAUGCUACCUGUCUGAACCUCCAGUGACUGGACCAUGGGAAGAUGUGUGUGGAAGAUGUCUCGCCUACCAAAACCAGGUCAUGUCCAACAACUGAUUCAAAAACAAAUCUGACAACAUAAGGCCCGAAAGGCUUUCAUCGACUUCCAGCCUGUUGGAACCAACAUCCCAGAGUAUCUUCGCCAGGCAAUGAAGAGACCUGAACCAUUUGUACUUGCUCUUGGCAACAGUCAGGUUUCUCAAGCAUUUACUGUAAUAAAUGGAGAGGCGCUUGAGAACAGAACCUUGCUGGGAGCAGUUGAUACCUGUUUCAAGGCGUUUUACUUCUUUGACAUCAA